rnacentral:lncRNA from 10 species
UUUUGCUGUGAAGAUUCUAUGAAGAGAAUACCAAUUGGAUGACUGUAUUGUUCUUCUAAACAAGGCCUCUCUGUGUUGCCUGCCAAGGCUGGUCUUGAACACUUGGUCUCAAGCGAUCCUCCUGUUUUGGCCUCCCAAAGUACUGGGAUUACAGAUGUGAGCCAGGGUGCCCAGCUCCAUGCUUUUUUAAAGGUUUUAACUUUCCCCAUUCCCCUUCCUACCCAACUUUAUGUGCUUGGCUGCUUUUAGCCUUCAUUAUUCUUCCUUAAAACCCAGCACAUGAAGAGGUUGACACGGACAUUUUGAAUCAAAGUAAAAAUAUACCUAACAAAGCAAUUUUAGAGUCUAAUUUUUUUUCUUUGGGGGGCAUUCCACCUCUUACUUAACUGUAUGUCUUAUUAUUUGUAUAUCUAGGAAAUAAAAGCUGUUUUAACCCAGCAUGUUAUAUUCCUUUCUCCCUUCC